rnacentral:rRNA from 1 species
CUUUACACAUGCAAGUCGAACGGCAGCACGGGUGCUUGCACCUGGUGGCGAGUGGCGAACGGGUGAGUAAUAUAUCGGAACGUAUCCAAUAAUGGGGGAUAACUAGCCGAAAGGUUAGCUAAUACCGCAUACGCCCUGAGGGGGAAAGCUGGGGAUCGUAAGACCUAGCGUUGAUGGAGCGGCCGAUAUCUGAUUAGCUAGUUGGUGGGGUAAGAGCCUACCAAGGCGACGAUCAGUAGCUGGUCUGAGAGGACGACCAGCCACACUGGAACUGAGACACGGUCCAGACUCCUACGGGAGGCAGCAGUGGGGAAUUUUGGACAAUGGGGGCAACCCUGAUCCAGCCAUUCCGCGUGAGUGAAGAAGGCCUUCGGGUUGUAAAGCUCUUUCGCAAGGGAAGAAAACUCAAUCUCUAAUAUAGGUUGAGGCUGACGGUACCUUGAUAAGAAGCACCGGCUAACUACGUGCCAGCAGCCGCGGUAAUACGUAGGGCGCGAGCGUUAAUCGGAAUUACUGGGCGUAAAGCGUGCGCAGGCGGUUUUGAAAGUCAGAUGUGAAAUCCCCGGGCUCAACCUGGGAACUGCGUUUGAAACUCCAAAGCUAGAGUAAGGGAGAGGGAGGUAGAAUUCCACGUGUAGCAGUGAAAUGCGUAGAGAUGUGGAGGAAUACCAAUGGCGAAGGCAGCCUCCUGGCCUAAUACUGACGCUCAUGCACGAAAGCGUGGGGAGCAAACAGGAUUAGAUACCCUGGUAGUCCACGCCCUAAACGAUGUCUACUAGUUGUUGGGAGAGUAAAAUCUUUUAGUAACGAAGCUAACGCGAGAAGUAGACCGCCUGGGGAGUACGGUCGCAAGAUUAAAACUCAAAGGAAUUGACGGGGGCCCGCACAAGCGGUGGAUUAUGUGGAUUAAUUCGAUGCACCGCGAAAAACCUUACCUAGCCUUGACAUGUAGCGAACUUAGCAGAGAUGCUUUGGUGCCCGAAAGGGAGCGUUAACACAGGUGCUGCAUGGCUGUCGUCACCUCGUGUC